CCUUCAAUUUUUGUCUGGUGGUACUGAUCUCCGUUGUAAGUCAUGUGUUGUGUGUUUGAUAGAAGAACUCUGUGAUUCGAAAUCGGGAUAAUGUCUUCACGCUUUACAACUUAUCCUCAAUUUUAUGCUUUUGUCGACGUAAACAACAUCUGCCUCACCAGCCACUCGAAAGGGGAGCACACUCAAGUUUUAGUUUCAAUACAGUUGAAGAAUGACACGAAAGAAAAGUUCGUUGUCGUUUCGGAAACACAGGAAAUGUCGAUUUGCUAAGCCGAUGAAAUGCGUUCUUGUACAACAGUCUCCAGUACCAUCGCCAGGAAGAUUAUCAGUCUUCAAAUGCAAACGAAUUCAAUAUAUUUGUUACGUCAUUGUAAAAAAUGUAAAUCAAAUGACGCAUCAUUCAUUCAUAUACAGUGCGCGGAAUAUCAACGUGACAUCAUUUUCGAUUAUUGCCACAGAUGAAAAGAAAACUAAAACAGCAGAUAAACUUUGUUAGAUUAAUCGUUAUUGAUUUGGUAAUAAUUGGAUUCAACUUUACAACAGAACGCUGAAAUGAGUGUCCGUUUUUUCCUAUAGAUGCCUAGUGCGAAGCUCUAUUUAGUGACGCCAUUGAAUCGGUACAUACAUGUGACAUCGUUUUCGGUCACAAGUAUUUUGAAACUUACAUUACCUUCAUUGAUAACGAAAAGUCGAAAAUAACGUCAAGCUUAUUGAUGUUACUGAAAAGCUGACAUGCUAUAAGUGAUAUGUGAAUUAAAUUUCGAUAAGAAUAACAUUAGUUUUAGACGCAGUUAUUCCCGUUAUCAUAAAAAUACUAUGUUUUGUUACAUAUUACAUUUAUAAACAAGUCAAGUUUUUUUUUAGAUUUCUUUAAGAGCGCGUUUUAGCAUAUGCAUUUUACUACAAUAUUUCCGUGAACUGUUAGAAACUAUCUUCCAAACAUAAAGCUCUGAAAAAUUGUUUUUACAGAAUACCCCACACUUGAUAUUCUUCUUUGUCUACAUAGAAAACAAGUGUCAUGGUAGAAUUGCAAACACAGAUAUAU